GGCCAGGUAGCUCAGUCAGUUGAACGUGGCGCUGACAACACCAAGGUCGUGGGUUCGAUUCCCAUUCGGUCCC
rfam:Apaloderma vittatum contig62982, whole genome shotgun sequence.